rnacentral:rRNA from 1 species
UCCGAAUUGUAGUUUAAAGAAGCGUUUUCGGUGGCAGUCUCGGUAUAAAUCCUUUGGAAUAGGGUAUCAUAGAGGGUGAGAAUCCCGUCUUUGACUGAGAAUUUGCUACUAUGUGAUACGUUUUCAAAGAGUCGAGUUGUUUGGGAAUGCAGCUCAAAAUGGGUGGUAAAUUUCAUCUAAAGCUAAAUAUUGGCGAGAGACCGAUAGCGAACAAGUACCGUGAGGGAAAGAUGAAAAGAACUUUGAAAAGAGAGUUAAACAGUGCGUGAAAUUGUUGAAAGGGAAACGCUUGAAACCAGUCAUGUAGUUGGAAAAUCAGUGUUCAAUUGGAGGGAAUGGGAGAGGUGUGGACCGCAAGGCUGCUCUUUUCUAUAUCUCUUUUGUUGGGCAUGCACUUUUUCUUCCGCAGGUCAACAUCAGUUUCUUUUGCUGGACAAAACUCUUGAGAAGGUAGCAGCUUUGGCUGUGUUAUAGCUCUGGAGCGAUACAGUGGAGGGGACUGAGGUUUUCGCAGCAUGUGCUCUCGGGCAAGGCCAGCUGGGUGCUAUGGGACCGUUCGGGGUACAAUACAUGUAUUUUGCUUCGUGUCUUUUCUAUACUCGCUUAGUUGAGCUCUUCCAUGCUUAGGAUGUUGACUUAAUGGUUUUAAUCGA